rnacentral:rRNA from 1 species
AUGAAAUUUGCUGCCAAAGCACUCUCCAAUGCACAGACACCUUGGCUAGAGUGGCUUGAUCUCCAACACCCUAACACACUUGUCUCCUCAUCCCCUCAAACCUCUUUUCUGUGCCGCACAAUUUCACAGCAAAUCCCUACCCUACAGAAUAUCACGUUCGUGCUAACAAACAAUGGCUCACAUACUUACUUCUUGCUAGACACUUGGCUGGCUCCACAACCCCUUGCCAUCACCUUCCCCCACCUAUUUUCACACUCUACCUUAGUGCUGGCUAAAGUGGAUAACAUUUUGCGUUUGGGUAUCCAAGCUAAACUCCGUAAUCGUCUCUCCCUCACGGCAUAA